GAAAAAAUGAAAAAGCUGAGGCACAAAGAAGCUAAGAAACACAUGCAGUGGAAGCAAAUGGAAAUAUUCAAGUAAAAUUUGGAAUCGCCAGUAUCCAAAUUGGACAUUGGAUUGCUCUGAAGGAGAGUUGAAAACGAUGUGGCUUUCUAACAAGCAAAAAGAUGAGUUGUGCUCCAAACAUGUCAUAUUCCUGGAGAAAGCCUAGUGAAGGAUGAAAGAUCAUAUGGAACAGAGAUAAGCCAUCCCAGCUGAAGUCAUCUUAGACCAACCAGCCUCCAGCUAACCCAAUGCCAGAUCAUAGACACAUGGGUGAGAACAGCUAGGAUCAGAAGAAACACUCGUCUGAGCUCCAUCCAAGUU